rnacentral:rRNA from 1 species
GUAUCCUUUGACAAUGUUCGUAGCGGCCCCCGGCAAGGGGAGCGGCAGACGGGGUGAGUAACGCGUGGGAAUCUACCCUUUUCUACGGAAUAACGCAGGGAAACUUGUGCUAAUACCGUAUAAGCCCUUUGGGGGAAAGAUUUAUCGGGAAAGGAUGAGCCCGCGUUGGAUUAGCUAGUUGGUGGGGUAAAGGCCUACCAAGGCGACGAUCCAUAGCUGGUCUGAGAGGAUGAUCAGCCACGUUGGGACUGAGACACGGCCCAAACUCCUACGGGAGGCAGCAGUGGGGAAUAUUGGACAAUGGGCGCAAGCCUGAUCCAGCCAUGCCGCGUGAGUGAUGAAGGCCCUAGGGUUGUAAAGCUCUUUCACCGGUGAAGAUAAUGACGGUAACCGGAGAAGAAGCCCCGGCUAACUUCGUGCCAGCAGCCGCGGUAAUACGAAGGGGGCUAGCGUUGUUCGGAAUUACUGGGCGUAAAGCGCACGUAGGCGGACAUUUAAGUCAGGGGUGAAAUCCCGGUGCUCAACCCCGGAACUGCCUUUGAUACUGGGUGUCUAAAGUAUGGAAGAGGUGAGUGGAAUUCCGAGUGUAGAGGUGAAAUUCCG